rnacentral:rRNA from 1 species
GAUGAACGCUGGCGGCGUGCCUAAUACAUGCAAGUCGAGCGAACGGACGAGAAGCUUGCUUUUCUGAUGUUAGCGGCGGACGGGUGAGUAACACGUGGAUAACCUACCUAUAAGACUGGGAUAACUUCGGGAAACCGGAGCUAAUACCGGAUAAUAUUUUGUACCGCAUGGUUCAAAAGUGAAAGACGGUCUUGCUGUCACUUAUAGAUGGAUCCGCGCUGCAUUAGCUAGUUGGUAAGGUAACGGCUUACCAAGGCAACGAUGCAUAGCCGACCUGAGAGGGUGAUCGGCCACACUGGAACUGAGACACGGUCCAGACUCCUACGGGAGGCAGCAGUAGGGAAUCUUCCGCAAUGGGCGAAAGCCUGACGGGGCAACGCCGCGUGAGUGAUGAAGGUCUUCGGAUCGUAAAACUCUGUUAUUAGGGAAGAACAUAUGUGUAAGUAACUGUGCACAUCUUGACGGUACCUAAUCAGAAAGCCACGGCUAACUACGUG